rnacentral:rRNA from 1 species
UACGUAGGCAGCGAGCGUUGUUCGGAGUUACUGGGCGUAAAGCGUGCGUAGUCGGUUAUCUAAGUCGGGUGUGAAAUCCCCGGGCUCAACCUGGGAAUUGCAUUCGAUACUGGAUAGCUAGAGUUCGGCAGAGGGAAGCGGAAUUUCCGGUGUAGCGGUGAAAUGCGUAGAUAUCGGAAGGAACACCAGUGGCGAAGGCGGCUUUCUGGUCUGCUCUUGACGCUGAGGCGCGAAAGCUAGGGUAGCAAACGGG